GGCAACUUCUCUUAUCUCGUCUGUGAGCUGAGUAUUUUUCAACCUAAGAGAAGGUCCCCAACUCUCUUUGGAGAAAUGUAUGGAGGCUUACUAAAUCUGGGAACACCAGAAAGAGCUACAAGAAUCUUUGUGGAUUGCAAAGUGACCUGCUGGCCAAUGUCCAUAGCAUCCCUGGCUUCUAAAUCCUGCUAAGGUAAAGUCACUGCUGGGAUAUUGAGAAAAAAAACAAUGCCUGAUGCUCACUCCUGCUUCUCGAGGGUCAGCAUGCCUCGAUUCCUCUGACACACCGUCCUAUGGCAACCCUCUGAAAUGGAUGUGUUUGGACAGAUCAGCUUCUGAAGGUGAAGACAACCACUCCUUCUUCCCUCAGACCCUCGUUUCAGAGAAUCGGCUGCACAUUUUCUGUGCUGGAUCCAUGAUUAAAUUCCCUCUGUACCGCGAUCCUGGAGACCCGGGAUCGAGUCUCACGUCGGGCUCCCGGUGCAUGGAGCCUGCUUCUCCCUCUGCCUAUGUCUCUGCCUCUCUCUCUCUCUCUGUGUGUGACUAUCAUAAAUAAAUAAAGAAAUGAAAAAAAAAAUGAAAAAAAAAAGGGAACCCUGGGUGGUGCAAUGGUUUAGCGCCUGCCUUUGGCCCAGGGCGCGAUCCUGGAGACCCGGGAUCGAGUCCCACGUCGGGCUCCCGGUGCAUGGAGCCUGCUUCUCCCUCUGCCUGUGUCUCUGCCCGCCGCCCCCCCCUCUCUCUCUGUGACUAUCAUAAAUAAAUAAAAAAAAUUUUUUAAAAAUGAAAUUCCC
rnacentral:lncRNA from 12 species